rnacentral:lncRNA from 1 species
AGAGGUUCUUGCAAAGCGCUAUGGGAGAGAAGCAAACCUUUCUGGAGGAUAUGUAGUAGGAGUAGAGCCUCCUGCACCUUCAGGACUAUGCCUCUGCUCUCAUCUCAGGAUGUUUUUGGAUCCUGAACAUUUCUUCCUCAGGAACUGUUGGUGAGAUUGGGACUGAAGUGACCAGCGCUGGACAUCUGAGUUAACAGUUUAAGAAAAGCUGUAAUCCCUCAUCUCUGCAGAGAAGCACUUCCCAUACAUUUCUACCAACAGGUUCAGUGGUCAACCCAAGAACCUGAAAAGCAACAGAACAACCUGUACCUUAGAUCUACGGUGAUGAAAGCCUGAGCUACGAUCCUGGAUCACAAGGACACCAGCCUGGUCGGUCUGAUUUACCCCUUGGAGCAAUCAGUGGAUCAGUUCCUGUUGGCUGGCUGUACAGGGAAAGGGCUAAGGCCAGCAGCCGUCCGGAGACGAAGCUGGACGACCUUGCAUCCUCUGCUCUGCUGCUUGUCACAACAGAUGAGAGACGCGGAAGGGAGGGUGAGCAUCCAGCACGCUCCUAUCUCUUCACCCAUCUCCUCAGUAAAGGCACUCCUGGCUCAGGGC